rnacentral:lncRNA from 1 species
GCAGCUACAUGUUUAAUUUCACAAGUUACUGUAACUUGUGUAAUAUCUAUAUGUUCUGAAAAUGCAGAUGUAGCACAACUUUCUACAUAUGAGGGAGAAAUGGAGAUCAUAUACAACAAUCAUUUUAAAUUGUGUUAGUCAUCAUAGGUGAUAUGGUGUUGUUAUUUUGAGACUGUUGCUUGUGUAAUAUGAGAUGAAAUAAAACAAUGCUAUGAAGCAUUCUAAUUUUAUUAUCCCCUGUGUCCUGAGAACCAAACGUUUCAAUGUGAAAGACAGGUAUACAGAUGUAAUAGGGAAGAGGUUAUGUAAAAGCUCUGUAAUUUUGAUGAUCCAAUACAAGACUCGGUAAGAACAGCAGGUCUGCUCCACCUUCUUCCUAGUGUCGGCUGCUUGUAACUUUUUCAAGCUAAUUCUGUGAUAUUUGCCCUGUAUUUUCAAAUGACAUGACUAUACUUCUAGAUUUUGUUUUAGGUGUUAUGUACUGACUUCCCAAAAUAGAAGAUGGGAUUUUGUUCUCUUUCACCCACCCACCCACUACCACCAUUUUCCCCUUUACUUCUCAUUCUCUCUAAUAAAUUCUAUUGCUUUAUCUUCCCCAUAUAUUUAUCUAGCAAUUUUGAUUAGGUAAAUACUGAUUAUGCCCUUAUUAUUAAUGUAUAAAUGCUAUUUUAUGUGAUCCAUAUAAUGUAAUUAUAUUUACUUUCCUGCGUAGGAAAUAACCCAUGAAGUCAACAAUUUGGCUUAUUUUCUAUGUGCUUAAUGAUUAAUUCAACUCUGAAUUCUCUUCCAACUGUCUAAUUCUCCUUUGAAUAUACAAAAAUACUUUAGACAAAUACCUUAGAUAAUUUAAAAUGUCAUCUUCUUAAGGAAAUUUCUUCUUGCCUGCGUCUGCCUGGCCUCGUGGCUCUCUGGAACUGCACAGGCAACCCCAUUAGUUCCCUUCACUGUGGAAAUCAAUUUUGCCUCUCUCUUUUGUUGGAUCUCCUCUUUGGAUUUUGGAUCAUAUUUCCUGGUUUAUUUCCUCAUUUAGAGAAAAAGAAAAUCAAGUCUGCCAGGUGAUUGCUGAUAAAUAAUUGGAAAAUGUGAGACCUUUUCUCUCUGAAAAUAUCUUUAUUGUGGCUUUUUUUUUAAAAUUGAGACAAGGUCUUGCUCUGUUGUCCAGGCUGUAGUGCAUUGGCACAUGGCUCACUGCAGCCUUGUUCUCCUGGGCUCAAGAAUCCUCCUGCCUCAGCUUCCUGAGUAGGUGGGACCACCACAGGUGCACACCACCAUGCCUGGUUUAUUUAAUGUUUUUUUUUCGUAGACAUAGGGUCUCACUAUGUUUUCAGGCUAGUCUCAAACUCCUUGGCCCAAGUGAUCCUCCCACUUUGGCCUCCCAAAGUGCUGGGAUCAGGCCAAGCCUUUAUUGCAUUUUUAUAUGAAAUUGAGAGAUCAUCUGUGCUUAGGGGACACAUCAGUUUCCCUAGAAAUUUUUAAUGCAUUUUCCCAUUUCCUUUUAGCUUUAUGUGUUGACAGUGAGAAGUGCGAUAUUAUUUGAUUCUCAUUAUAUAUCUUUUAUGUAAGUAUCUUAUUUUCUCUUCAAUAUUCUGAAAGUUCUUCAUGUCUUGGUAUUGGUUUGCUCCCAUGCAGCGUGCUAAGCCCUUUGAAACAGAAAUUCAUGUACUUCAGAUUUGGGGAAACUGUGUUGACUUUUUUUUUAAUGAAAUCUUUAUCACUCAGUUUUCUACUCUCCCUGACUGGAAUUCAAAAUAUUUGGAUGUUGAACCUCUUGGAUGUGUCAUAAUGUUUUUUUCUCUUGUCUUUAAUUCAUUUUUCAUUUCUGUCAUUAUCUUCAACUUUUUAUAUAAUGUUUCCUGAAUUUUAUCUUCAAAAGCCUCUGUUGGACUUUUCUUUAUCUUUUUCUUCCAUAUUUCUAUAUAUUUUUUUUAUUUCUCAUAAUUCUAGGAUUUCUUUUUAAUCCUCUUUGAGAGUUCCUAUUUCAUAGCUUCCUGUUCUUAUUUGUAGAUUAAAUAUAUUCUCUUAUUAUCUGAAAGAUACUAAUGACAGUACUUUGUAAAUUCUCUCCCCUCUGGGUUUGUGUGUUUUGUCUUUCUCCUCUCCCUUCUCCUUUUCCUACCUCCUCCUACUAUUUAGUUUCUGACUUUUACAUUAGAUAUUCUUUUUCAAUAUCAAAUGACGUUGGGUGAUUACCAGUUUCUAAGGAUGGGCUCUGAUAUUUGGUGAGAAGUUUCAUGUGUGUCAAAGGGGUCUGUCCUUUCAAUUUUUCAAAAUAGACUUAGCUAGGGGUUUACAUUGGGGAAUCCGUGAAGCCAGGUGUUUUCCCUUAGACUAACUCGGUGCUCUAGAGAAGAUUCUUUCAGUCUCCAGGACAUAUCUGGCUGCCAGCACUCCAAAAGCUCCACGUGGAGAAAAGGCAAGCAGGUCUCAACAUCUCAACAGUAUGCAAACUUUCACUGGUUUGCUAUGUUUUCACGAUGACACUCCCAUUCUCAUAUCUAACUACGCCCAUCAUUCGUCUAUCAACUGACCCUUUGUUUUACCUUUCCUAAGGAAUAAGCCCUCCUUCUACCUAGGUGAGGGGAAUGCUAUAUGAACAAGAGGAGCUAUCUAGGGAUCUGAUAGACUUUGACAGUGUUUCAACUGCAUCUCUUGCAUGUUGCCCCACCUUCUCUCCUGUACUCAGAAGUACAUGAUACAACAAAUUUCUGAGCCUUUAAUGGGUUCGAUGGUGUAAAUCAACUUGUUUCUCAGCUUUCCUCACUGCCAGCAAAAAGAUCGGUUUCUGUGCGCCUGCUAAGUUAGUUACUGCAGAUCAGGCAUCUGCUUUCCAGCUUUCAAAAUUGUUGCUCCAUUCUCUCCACUUUGUCCUACAGAUUUAUGCCUUUAAAAAUAAAAAUAAUUUACCUGUUCUUUUAGUGGUUUUCUUUGGAGUGGAUGGAUGUUGGGAGAGGAAGAUUGAAGUAAAUAUGUACAUGUGAUGUGUAUUUGUGGUUGUGUGCCCGUGUUCUCUUACUAUUAUUUUCAGGAUUCACUUUUCAUUCCUUGCUAAAGCAGUUUUAGUGGCAAUUUUUCUACAGUGUGACUAAAAUAAAUAUCUAAAAGGCAGAAUUGUGUGAAUUAUCUCCAGGUGUUCUUUGAAAAAUGCAUAACGAUUGAACUCUAAAUGUGAUUAUCACAGCCUCAAAGAGGUUGUAGGAGGAGACAAGGAUUUUUUAGAGUCCUCACUGUGUCUAGCACUAUGCUCCACUCCUUAGGAUAUGCUAUCAAAUUACAGUUUAAUGUAGUAAAAAUUCCAGGAAGCAGAUAUUACUAUCCUUGUUUUACAAAGAAGGAAACAGAAGGUUGCCCAUAGGCUAAAGAAAUACACAGCUGUUGAAUAAAAAAUAAGGACUCAGCUAAGGUCUGCUUGAAACCUAUGCCCAUAAUCUUGCCACUGCAGCAAACUAAAUUCAUUGUGUGGCUAAAAAUCCACAAAGUAAUUGAAUUGUGCACUGUUACCCACAAUUAUCAGAAUUCUUUCUUGUCACCAACUCAUGCUUGACUUAAAAGAGGGAAAGGGAUGGCUGAGAAUGUGGUCUCUGAUUGGAAAUUCUAACUCAUGCUGUGACCUUGGGAACAUUGCUUUACUUUCAGGGCCUCAAUUUCUACAUCAAUAAAACAAGGUCAUCAGAAUAAAUGGUCUGUUACAUUCUGAUGAUCUAUCCUGCAGAUGGUGAGCUGGAGGUGCUGAGAGCUUCAACAACGCACCCAAGUCAGAUGGGAAGUCAAAUGCUUGGCCACCCUCAAACUCUCUGUUUUUACUCUGCAAGAAACUUCCCAACAGACAGUUCGACAGCCUCCCAAAUGCCAAUGGGCAUGAAAUAUGGUUUUCUCCCAAGUCCCUCUUCAGAACUGAAUCUUUCCAUGUCUCCUUCAGGGAUUGCAGGGCCUCAUCUAAACUUAAGAUAAAUAAAUACCCCAAGACGUGGGAUAGAAAUGGAAGUCAAAAGGAGAGACUGGGGAAAGGAGUUAGCGAACCUUGGACCUUUUACCAUAUGGCCUCAGCACUUUUGAUUAUUUUAUAAAUGCAUGAGGUGACACAUUGGUUUCUUUAAAGCCAUUUUUACACAUACAUCCCUUUUAGGGUUAUAAUUCAUGUGAAUUUAGAUAAUGAGGUAAUUGAGUUUAAUGACUGUAGCAGUGAUUCAGGAAGGAGAAGAUCUCAAAUUAUUUAUAAUAAUAAUUGAUACUAAUACUUGUAUGGUAUUACCAAGGCAA